GCACCAUAUGAAGUGCUGAGGUGGAUGCAAAAUAAACAGGUGACUCUGCUUCUCCGGACAGUUGAUUUUAUCAUGGCUGCCCCAGCAUACUUACAGAUGAGUGUCCACAGCUUGAAGGCCAGACCAGACCAUCUGGUACACAUUGAAAGAUCGAAGUGUCUUCGGAUUUGCAUGGAGGAAGACAUUUUAGCAUGGCGUGUGUUUAACGCAGCCUUGCAGAUGAGAAACCAGCACUUCCCAGUUUACAGUUUUCUGUGAUCUCUCUCCUCCCUUCCUCCAUUCCCACCUCCCCCUCCCCCGACCCACCAGAAGAACCUAGGUAAUAAAUCAACGAAUUAUUCA